rnacentral:rRNA from 4 species
CACGGUCCAGACUCCUACGGGAGGCAGCAGUGGGGAAUAUUGCACAAUGGGCGCAAGCCUGAUGCAGCCAUGCCGCGUGUAUGAAGAAGGCCUUCGGGUUGUAAAGUACUUUCAGCGGGGAGGAAGGUGUUGAGGUUAAUAACCUCAGCAAUUGACGUUACCCGCAGAAGAAGCACCGGCUAACUCCGUGCCAGCAGCCGCGGUAAUACGGAGGGUGCAAGCGUUAAUCGGAAUUACUGGGCGUAAAGCGCACGCAGGCGGUCUGUCAAGUCGGAUG